GAGUAGGUGGCGUCUAGGUUGACCUGCAAUUGAUGUUUUGAUCAAUGUCCCAACAAUUAAGACAGCAUUAUCUUGCAAGUUUCAUUGUGACUAUAGAAUGAUAAGCAAAACAAAUUAUCAAACCCAACAAAUAGCAAACAACGAACAUGUUGAUAAAAAUAAAUAAAUAAAUAAUAGGGACUUAUUAAUCCAUGGACAGCUCGCAACCUAUUUGGAUUAUGAUAGGUUACUACUGAAAUUAUGAUAUUGCACCAUCAAAAGUCUCAGGAAAGUAGGAUGCAAACCAUGCAAUAAUCACAAACACACAUGAACUGAAUUUGAUUCUUGUGGAGAAAAAACACUUGGCACAACUCAAGUCACAAGAUAAAUUAACUUCAUAUGAAAGUUUUUGUGAAAUUGAUUUGGUUCAAACAUCCAAUAUCUAAAGUACAUGUAAUCCACUAGAUUGCAGGAUGUGAGGCAGACACUUAGUUGGCAAAAAUUGAAAAAAUAACACUAAAAAAAAAGAGUUAUCAAACAAUUAGAGAUACUAGUACAUGAAGCAGAAUAAAGAUAACCGCUUCAAGUCUUCACCAAUAACAAUAAACAAUUGCCAGCUAUAACUAUUCGGCAUUGUAUAAAAAAAAAUAACAAUAAUACAAAGCAACACUUGCUAACCCCGAAAAAUAUGUCGGAAAUG
rnacentral:misc_RNA from 1 species